rnacentral:tRNA from 1 species
GGAGAGAUGGCUCAGCAGUUAAGGGCACUGGCUGCUCUUCCAGAGAUCCUGAGUUCAAUUCUCAGUUACCA